rnacentral:tRNA from 1 species
UCCGAAUUGGUGUAGUGGCUAACAUUUGACGCUCUCAAGUCCAUCAUUCCGUGAUGUGAAAAGUCCCGUCAAGCCCGGGGUUCGAUUCCCCGAUUCGGAG